rnacentral:rRNA from 1 species
GACGAACGCUGGCGGCGUGCCUAAUACAUGCAAGUCGAACGCAGUGGGGACGGGUGAGUAACACGUGGGUAAUCUCCCAUCAGAGGGGAUAACACUUGGAAACAGGUGCUAACCCGAUACCGAUGGAUGGACCCGCGGUGCAUUAGCUAGUUGGUGAGGUAACGGCUCACCAAGGCCCCGAUCCCUAGCUGGUCUGAGAGGAUGACCAGCCACACUGGAACUGAGACACGGUCCAGACUCCGACGGGAGGCAGCAGUGGGGAAUAUUGCACAAUGGGCGCAAGCCUGAUGCAGCCAUGCCGCGGGUGUGAAGAAGGCCUUCGGGUUGUAAAGCACUUUCAGCGGGGAGGCGUUACCCGCAGAAGAAGCACCGGCUAACUCCGUGCCAGCAGCCGCGGUAAUAC